GUCGAGCGGUAACAGGAGAAAGCUUGCUUUCUUGCUGACGAGCGGCGGACGGGUGAGUAAUGUAUGGGGAUCUGCCCGAUAGAGGGGGAUAACUACUGGAAACGGUGGCUAAUACCGCAUAAUGUCUACGGACCAAAGCAGGGGCUCUUCGGACCUUGCGCUAUCGGAUGAACCCAUAUGGGAUUAGCUAGUAGGUGGGGUAAAGGCUCACCUAGGCGACGAUCUCUAGCUGGUCUGAGAGGAUGAUCAGCCGCACUGGGACUGAGACACGGCCCAGACUC
rnacentral:rRNA from 1 species